CUUACCCAGUGGAGGUCCGGAGCCAAGUGGCUGAACGAAGGAGAGUUACGUCGGUAAGACGAGUUAAUUAUCCGAUGAAAAGAUAGCUUGACGCUUACCGUCGUCGUCCAUGCUAAUGCUAGCUCUGUGCUUAGCAGGCUAACUGCUUGCCUGUCCUCCAGAGAGCUGCUACGAGGUUCGGCAUCGGCAUGCUCCACCUUGAUACACAGAGCAACGGUCAGGUUUUUUAGAGGACUGAAGAGUCUGAGGUUCAGGACAACUUCCUGCUGUAAAAGAUGGCGAGCCAACUACCCUGAUUGAAGAUUAGCACCGAGGAGAUAUUCACGUACACACUCAUUCACAAAAAUAAUACACUCACAUUACACUACAAGGAACCUUGGAAUCAGGUGAACUUGCAACAACUCCUUUUAUUUUAAGGGCCCCAACAGACAUUUUUGUUUUAAGUGUGCACACUACUUUUUUUAUUUUUCUUACUGUUUGGUAUAAUAUUUUGCAUUUUGUACGAACCAGACAAAUUACUUUGUUCACUGUAAAAUAUAAGAGUGGCUACUCAAUUGUUA